UACAGAGGGUGCAAGCGUUUAAUCGAAAUUACUGGGCGUAAAGCGCACGUAGGUGGCUUGAUAAGUUGGGUGUGAAAUCCCCGGGCUUAACCUGGGAAUUGCAUUCAAGACUGUCUUGCUAGAGUGUGGAAGAGGGAAGCGGAAUUCCAGGUGUAGCGGUGAAAUGCGUAGAUAUCUGGAGGAACAUCAGUGGCGAAGGCGGCUUCCUGGUCCAACACUGACACUGAGGUGCGAAAGCGUGGGGAGCAAACAGGG
rnacentral:rRNA from 1 species